rnacentral:rRNA from 1 species
GAUGAACGCUGGCGGCGUGCCUAAUACAUGCAAGUCGAGCGAACAGACGAGGAGCUUGCUCCUCUGACGUUAGCGGCGGACGGGUGAGUAACACGUGGAUAACCUACCUAUAAGACUGGGAUAACUUCGGGAAACCGGAGCUAAUACCGGAUAAUAUAUUGAACCGCAUGGUUCAAUAGUGAAAGACGGUUUUGCUGUCACUUAUAGCUGGAUCCGCGCCGCAUUAGCUAGUUGGUAAGGUAACGGCUUACCAAGGCAACGAUGCGUAGCCGACCUGAGGGGUGAUCGGCCACACUGGAACUGAGACACGGUCCAGACUCCUACGGGAGGCAGCAGUAGGGAAUCUUCCGCAAUGGGCGAAAGCCUGACGGAGCAACGCCGCGUGAGUGAUGAAGGUCUUCGGAUCGUAAAACUCUGUUAUUAGGGAAGAACAAAUGUGUAAGUAACUAUGCACGUCUUGACGGUACCUAAUCAGAAAGCCACGGCUAACUACGUG